UCAUAUUUAAUUUAAUUGAGGCACCUCCAUCUUGUUACAGAACUCCAAGAUUUCCUUUGGCUGAGAAGGUACUGAACAUGCUCUCAAAAAUGUUGGUGCCUGGAAAAUACAUGUUUCUGAGUCCAGUUGGGGGCAGUAAAGCAACACAUCGGAUGCCAACUGCCGAGAAACUCCAAAGAUUUCCCCUGUUCACCCAUGCCAGUGAGGCCUGAUCGCUGAAGCAGACAAACUGAGACACUUGGAGGCUCAGCUAAACUCUUUAGCGCAACAGAGCUUUGGGGGCCAAUUUCUUUGCCACAGAGAAAGGAAUGUGCAAACUGAAAGACAAUGAAGGUAUCUUCACAGAUCCAGUGAAGGGAGUCUACUACUUCACAUUAUGUACGUUUGUCUACAAUGACUACAAGGGUGCUGAUGGUGACAAUGUGGCCAUUUUGAAUCUGAAUAAUGGGGACAGGGUCUGUGUGGAACUGUGGGAACAGUGCCAGGUGUAAGACAACAAUGAUGGGCACAUUACCUUCAGUGUGUAAAAUAGAUGUUAUAACCUGUCAAUUAGUGAUGGGAGGUGAACAAGUGCACACUUUGGGAGGAAUGAGCGCUAAUUGGGACAGAGCCUCUGUCUGUAAUGAAGCAGGAAUUCUCUUGACGGUGACUGAAUUUCGUGAGAAUUGUGUACCUAUGCUGAAUCCCAAACCAGCCCUGUUUUCUCAUGGACUGCACUUGCAAGUUGUAUUUUCUAUUUUUAAAGUUUUCAUAUCCACAAUAUUUCUGGCCUUUUUGGUGAUUUUGUUUAUGGAAAAGCCUGGAUUAUAAUUUAUGAACUUCUCAUGCCUCCAUGUUAUUUUUCUAGGCUGUUAACUUAGUUUAGUGUUUUUUUAAUUUUUUAAAUGACUAUGAUUAACUGUAGACAUUGUUUUUGAACCGUUGAACUUCAGUAUGCCAAUGCAAUUCAUUAGACAUUUUCAGACUGACUGUCAUGUGGUCUUCAGUGUACUCUGUAUAAUAAUAUACUUUCCAUCUCCUCUAAAAUAAGGUGCAUCUUUGCCUUGAGCCACCAGGUAUAUUUUUAGAGUGAAUAGGAUGACCUUCAUUUACUCUUGGGUACUGUCCUAGAAUCCAGAAAAGUAAUUUAAAAUAUUACGUUUUGAGCCACAGAUGCAGCCACUUCUUCCUGCAAAGGUUGUUCAGUGUUGUUUUUAUCUAGACUUACUCAAAAACACUGACCGUUUGGAUGGAUUCAUUCUUAAUUAAAUAUGCAGUGAGUUCAGGACAUCUUUUUGAACCUUAUGCAUUGGAAAAAUGUCUGACAAAAAUGUAGAACUAGACAAGAUGAUGGGCCAAUUUUAACGUCCGCCACACUAAGCUGUCAGGGUGUAUAGCAACAUCCUAUUGUACUGGGUCCAGUUUCCCAAUUGCAUCUUAAAGCUAAGUUCGCUAGAACCUUGGUAGGAGCCAUGUUAACUCUAAGCUGUUUCCCAAACCACCGUUGCUAAAGUUGCUCUUGAAAAUGGUCGUUAUUUAACCAUUGCCUCAAACCAGUCGUUAGAUGCUUUUUUUUUUGCCCUUCCGCGUCACUGUAUACACAAUCAAGAUGUUUCUGUAUUUCUGUGACUGCAGAUAACUUCAGAACGAAUGUGACUACAAAUUUGCAAAUUUUG